rnacentral:rRNA from 1 species
GAUGAACGCUAGCGGCAGGCUUAACACAUGCAAGUCGAGGGGUAUAGUUCUUCGGAAUUAGAGACCGGCGCACGGGUGCGUAACGCGUAUGCAAUCUACCUUUCACAGAGGGAUAGCCCCAGAGAAAUUUGGAUUAAUACCUCAUAGUAUAGCAGUUUCGCAUGAAACCACUAUUAAAGUCACAACGGUGAAAGAUGAGCAUGCGUCCCAUUAGCUAGUUGGUAAGGUAACGGCUUACCAAGGCAACGAUGGGUAGGGGUCCUGAGAGGGAGAUCCCCCACACUGGUACUGAGACACGGACCAGACUCCUACGGGAGGCAGCAGUGAGGAAUAUUGGGACAAUGGGCGCAAGCCUGAUCCAGCCAUGCCGCGUGCAGGAUGACGGUCCUAUGGAUUGUAAACUGCUUUUAUACAGGAAGAAACNCUAACUUCGUGAAGUAGCUUGACGGUACUGUAAGAAUAAGGAUCGGCUAACUCCGUGCCAGCAGCC